rnacentral:lncRNA from 1 species
CUAUGCUUUUAUGAACCAACUAAUGAGGAGUGCUACUGAAUGCACGCUGCUAGUGAGCUCGCUCAGGGAUUGACCUUAUAAUCAUCAGCUAUAGAAACGUGUAUGCAAUGAAAUAACACAUCCAUAGAGAAUCAAGUUUAAAAAAACCCCAAAGCAUAUGAUUUUGGCUGCUUUAAAAAUGAAAGAAUUUAAAACAUCAUUAAUUAUAACAAAAAGGUGUAAGGGAGAAUCAAUGUGAAAGCAGGAUGCAAUUGAACCCAAAAAUUAUGGGUAAAUGACAAUAAAACUUGUUAUCCCGCAGUCACCGAAACAGCCUUAAUUGUGAGUGAAAAUCAUUACUACCUCAUAGCUGUAUAUUAUGACUUUUAAGUGAACAAUUCCAACCCUAGACAAGCCACCAUAGAGAACAUACACAAACUACCAAAUUCUUAUUGCAUUUGGUCUCAUUUCUGCAUGAACUCCAUAAAGACAAACUUGCCCUUUUGACAUAACAAAGGCAGUCUUCAGAAGCCUGGAUACACUGAUUGUGAGGACUGCAGACUGUCUCUUGCCUCUCUUGUGCUCGGGUUCAUGCUCCAAGGCAUGCAAGCACCUGUAAUAUUCUUCUUAGGGCACAGCAAACAAGAAACCAGCUCCUUCAGUUUCUCAUCUGUGCCCUUCACAGUUCUUUAAUACCUGCCUCUGUUUUCCUUCAAAGCUAAAGUCAGUUCUUCCCCUACAAUCAUGCACAAAACAUACAAAUUCUGCAGAUGAGUUUCUAUGACUCAGGUACACCCCAAACAGACUUGAGAAGUAUUACCUACAAAUGGAGCACAGGAAAAUUCAUGAAGAAAAGAGGGAGAGGUCACCAAGGAGUCAUUAGGACUUAAAGAAACGGAGAGAUGAGGACUAGACCUCUCAGCUGAGCAC